UAUGGCGGGGCUGAAGGCACGCCACAACCCAACUCAGUGCUCCCUUUGCUUCCUGCAUCUCCAUCUGCUCGGCGUUUCCGACGGGCUGCGCUGCUCGGGACCAAACGACCAAGAGGGACCGGGGAACUGUUCCCACCUCUCCAGACUAAGGACCUGGGGGAAGCACCAGGGGCCUCCACAGAAGACCCACCCCACCAAGACCAGCCCUGCACAUCUCCUUUUCUCCCAACGUCAGCGGAAACGGAGCGGUGGAGCACAAUGACGAUCUUCAAGAGGAGACUUUCUUUAAGUUUGUUAUCCCUCUGUAAACGGCACAAAGCACUUGUCAUUGAGUAUUGUGCUGGGAGUGCUUUUCCUGUUUAAUAAACAGAUUUUUUCCACUUC